rnacentral:ribozyme from 1 species
UCUUUUCUUCUCUUUUCUUUUUCGUUUUCAUUUUAAUCUUACGCCCCGUCUUCAUCCUCUUCUUCUUCAUCUCUCUCUCUCUCUCCCCACCCCACCCUUCUAUUCUCAAACAGUCCCAAACCCCAAAUCGUCUUCUCAU